rnacentral:rRNA from 1 species
UACGUAGGGUGCAAGCGUUGUCCGGAAUUAUUGGGCGUAAAGGGCUCGUAGGCGGUCCAUCACGUCGGGAGUGAAAAGCUGGGGCUUAACCCCAGUCCUGCUUCCGAUACGGGUGGACUAGAGGUAGGCAGGGGAGAACGGAAUUCCUGGCGUAGCGGUGAAAUGCGCAGAUAUCAGGAGGAACACCGGUGGCGAAGGCGGUUCUCUGGGCCUUACCUGACGCUGGGGAGCGAAAGCGUGGGGAGCAAACAGG